UAUGUAGGGCUAGGAUAUCUGAUCCGUUAACAGUGUAGCUGUUUUACAGCAGCUGUUAUAAAAAGCAUCACAUUGUCAAGCCCAUUAAAUUGUUGCUUCUUGCAGGAUUUUUUUUCAUAGCUCGCUUUACCAAUAAUAAUAAUUUUGCAUUGUGUAGAAACACGCUACUUAAAAGGUCUCUGAGCCCUUGCCACAAAGACGGCCGGAGGGGGUGGCGUCAGACCAGAGCCAGGAAAUAAACAACAGAGAGGUGUGGUUUGGUGGAGCUGAGCGAAUGGUUUCAGAACAGAAAAUAAAAAGGCUGUAAACAUACAAAAACACAGGACACGGCACUUCACGCCAAAAUAAACAGACAAACAAAAAUGGACUAACAUUUAAACAAACGGUGGAUGAACAGACAAACAAACACGAUUCUGCACACGUUUCGUUCUCAUCCCUGAUUCCCACAAACAGGUCUGUGAAGUUCCUAUCCGGCUGGUGAAGAAGGAACAGCGGAAAUGAAUCCCGCAGCGCUCUCGAUUCUUCUUCUGUCUGCCGCGGCAUUGCUGGAGCUUCCACAGAUAAAAUGUGAGGAUCCAAUAAAAACAAGUGUGUUGGACAUGGCUGAAGAUGCUCUUGAUGAUCAAUAUGACGGCUGUAGAGAUGAAAUGUUAAAAAAUGUUAACAAAACACUUCUUCCAUCAGAAUUAAAUAAAAACCCAACAUUUAACAAUGCAUGGAAAAUAGCACAAGACAAAAUGAUGAAACAAGGCCAUACGGGAUUGAGUUUGGACCAAGCUACAGCCAUCUAUCUGUACACUAUGGAGGAUGUUUACAAAGACUUCAACGCAGCAGUGAGAACAGGAGGAUCGAAUUACAGCCAGUUUCAAUUCAAGGCGUUGCAUUUCCAUUUGACAGAUGCCCUGAAUACCCUGAAAUCCAAUA